AAGGGCACCACAAGAACGCGUGGAGCAUGUGGCUUAAUUUGACUCAACGCGGGAAAUCUUACCGGGUCCGGACACACUGAGGAUUGACAGGCAAUAUUAAUUUCUGCAGCUUCGGCUAAAGUUAUUAUGUUAAAUAUGCUAGUCCUUUCAUGGUUAUGUGAUAGGUGGUGCAUGGCCGUUCUUAGUUCGUGGAGUGAUCUGUCUGCUUAAUUGCGUUUCACUAAGGGCCUAUAAAUUACGUGUGUCGCGGUACUUUGACCCCUCUUUUUUCACGAGAAGAGCGCGUGUCUUAGUUUGCUUAGCUCACACAAUUAGGUCCUGAAAGCAACGAACGUGACCGCAACCUCUUGUUGCCUUUAUACCAAACAUGGAUAUUCUCUUCGGAGGGUUUCAUGAAAAAAGGCUUUUUAAACUAGAGGGACCGCUGUUACUUUCUUAAACCAGAGGAAGGUUGCGGCAAUAACAGGUCUGUGAUGCCCUUAGAUGUUCCGGGCUGCACACGUGCUACAAUGAUUAUUGCAGUGAGCAUCUCAUUUUUUACACACUGCAUACGCGAGUCCAUUUAUUCACUCUCGGGUGCUUUAAAUGUGCAUCUCUGCGAGCGGUAAAGCCUGCUUCGAAAGUAAGUGAGUAAUCAAUUAGAAGUAAUGAUUUCCUUUUUUUCUAGCACACAUAUAUACGGCGUUUAUACCCGGGCUGCCUUGUUCGUAGCUUUUGUGCGUAUAGAUGUUUUUUCCGUAUGUGCGAUUGUCAAUUCAUGGUGGGGACAGACCAUUGUUAAUUGUUGGUCUCGGUCUUAACUAGGAAUGCCUUGUACGGGUCUUUGGUUCAACAAACCACCCGGAAUACGUCCCUGCCCUUUGUACACACCGCCCGUCGCUCUUACCGAUGGACUUCUCUGUGAGUUUGAGGGACUGGGAACGCAGGUUUUUUAUUAAAUCUGCACACCUAUGGAAACUUAAACGAACAGUGUGGUCUAAAGGAAAGAGAAGUCGAACAAGGCAU
rnacentral:rRNA from 1 species